rnacentral:misc_RNA from 1 species
GAAAUGCGAUAAGUAAUGUGAAUUGCAGAAUUCAGUGAAUCAUCGAAUCUUUGAACGCACCUUGCGCUCCUUGGUAUUCCUUGGAGCAUGCCUGUUUGAGUAUCAUGAAAUCUUCAAAGUAAAUCUUUUGUUAACUCAAUUGGUUUCUACUUUGGUAUUGGAGGUCUUUGCAGCUUCACACCUGCUCCUCUUUGUUCAUUAGCUGGAUCUCAGUGUUAUGCUUGGUUCCACUCGGCGUGAUAAGUUAUCUAUCGCUGAGGACACUGUAAAAGGUGGCCAAGGUAAAUGCAGAUGAACCGCUUCUAAUAGUCCAUUGACUUGGACAAUACUUUUAUGAUCUGAUCUCAAAUCAGGUAGGACUACCCGCUGAACUUCAGC